UAAAGCAUAGCACUUCAUAUUAUUACUCAUAUUGCUGUAAUUGUGUGGGCAAAUUCUACUGACUCUUCACUUUUGUUUUUGAAACUUUUAAUGCCAGUAAAGCCAUUUUGAUUUUAACUAAAUGUAAAAAGAUCUCGAAACAAACAAAGACACAAAUUGCAGAUUUUUCUGUGGUUUGUCCAAGUGGUGCUGCCGUACAUGAUUCUCCAAGAUGGCGGACACGCUCUCGGACGUUUUCCUCCUGACUGGCGUUCUUGCAGUUUCACACAGCGGAGUGUUUCCCAGCUGCCGGAGGUGAGCACACCUGAACGAUGCGGAGGAGGCCGCUCGUCGGACGUCAGGUAGCGGGCCCUGACGCUGAGGUGAGGAGGCUCACGUCGCAGUGUGACAGAUGGCUGAGGGUCACUGUGGUGUCACUUCACACCUCCAACAAGCCUGAACAAACACUGAUGAAGGACGUAGACUGUGGAGCCGUCGUCCCCCUCCUGGAUGACGCAGCAGCCCUUCGCCAGGCUGGUGGGAUGCAUGCAGUCCAUGAUGGUGAGGAUCUGCACACACACGAGCCCACAGAGCCUUCUGGAUCAGCUCACUAGACCUGCAGAUACACAGUAAAGGUCAGAGAGUAGCUGGUGAGGGUGACGUCGGUGAGCUGUGAGGGGUCCAGCGCUGUGGGCUCUGCAGAGAUGGCCUGUCUCUUGGUGCGCUGAGGUUCAUCUGGUCCUGCUGGAUUCUGAACUGCUGCUGCUGAAAGACACGCCAGAGAGACAACAGCGAAGAAGAUUUUUGUGUGAGCUGGUCCUUUAACAGCUUUGGAUUCAAGUUUGUUCAUCUUUCCGACCAUAAAGAAAACACAGCGGAAAUGAAGAAGUGAUGUGUUCAGGCUCUGGGUAUCAAACGGACAAAACAAAUCAUGUUGCUUCAUAAUAAACACUCGGUGGAUAUUUAUAGGCAGAAUUUGUUUAGGCCGUUAAAUAAACCACUCGGCGUUUCCUGCAAGUCAGCAGAGGAAUUCAGAGCGACUGAUUAUCAAAAGCAGCUUGUUUCGUCACCUCCGUGUUUGUGGCUCUCGUGUCACCUGAGCGCACCUGAACACACACCUGUGCCGGCCGACUCCCCGCUGCUGAGCGCGUGCGGUGAGGCGCUGCGGUGUCGGUCCAGCUCGACCUGCAGCUGCCUGAUCAGGUCGUCUUUGGUGUCCAGCUCGAGCUCCAGCUCGUCGAUGAGGGC